UGGGAUGUAGCUCAGUGUUAGAGCACCUGCCUAGCAUGCAUGAGGCCUGGGUUCCAUUUCCAGCAUCAUAA
rnacentral:tRNA from 1 species